AUUGAACGCUAGCGGGAUGCUUUACACAUGCAAGUCGAACGAGUGGCGGACGGGUGAGUAACAUAACGGACCGUGCCAAGGAGCGGGGGAUAACUACGCGAAAGGGUGGCUAAUACCGCAUACUCUUGGAGCGGCAGAUAUCGGAUUGGCUAGUUGGUGGGGUAAAGGCUCACCAAGGCAACGAUCCGUAGCUGGUUUGAGAGGACGACCAGCCACCCUGGGACUGAGACACGGCCCAGACUCCUACGGGAGGCAGCAGUGGGGAAUUUUUGACAAUGGGUGAAACCCUGAUCCAGCCAUCCCGCGUGUAUGAGAAGGCCUUCGGGUUGUGAAGUACUUUUGGCAGAGCAGCGUUAUCUUCCGAAUAAGCACCGGCUAACUCCGUGCCAGCAGCCGCGGUAAUUC
rnacentral:rRNA from 1 species